CACGUAGGCGGAUCGGAAAGUUGGGGGUGAAAUCCCGGGGCUCAACCCCGGAACUGCCUCCAAAACUAUCGGCCUAGAGUUCGAGAGAGGUGAGUGGAAUUCCGAGUGUAGAGGUGAAAUUCGUAGAUAUUCGGAGGAACACCAGUGGCGAAGGCGGCUCACUGGCUCGAUACUGACGCUGAGGUGCGAAAGUGUGGGGAGCAAACA
rnacentral:rRNA from 1 species